rnacentral:misc_RNA from 1 species
GGCCGGAGACCGACGGCAACAGCGGCUCAGGACCCACGCUGCCCCCACCCCUCCCGAGCAGGCCCCUGUGUCCGUCUGGGAUGAGGAGGAGGAUGGUGCCGUGUUUACCGUCACAAGCCGCCAAUAUCGACCUCUUGAUCCCUUGGUCCCUAUGCCUCCCCCACGUUCCUCCCGACGGCUCCGAGCUGGCACUCUGGAGGCCCUGGUCAGACACCUACUGGAUACCCGGACAUCAGGGACUGAUGUGAGCUUCAUGUCAGCCUUCCUGGCUACCCACCGGGCCUUCACCUCCACGCCUGCCUUGCUAGGGCUUAUGGCUGACAGGCUGGAAGCCCUUGAAUCUCAUCCUACCGACGAACUAGAGAGGACAACAGAGGUAGCCAUCUCUGUACUGUCAACCUGGCUGGCCUCUCACCCUGAGGAUUUUGGCUCUGAGGCCAAGGGUCAGCUUGACCGGCUUGAGAGCUUCUUACUUCAGACAGGGUAUGCAGCAGGGAAGGGUGUUGGGGGGGGCAGCGCUGACCUCAUCCGCAAUCUCCGGUCCCGGGUGGACCCCCAGGCCCCCGACCUUCCUAAGCCCCUGGCCCUCCCCGGCGAUCCCCCUGCUGACCCCACGGAUGUCCUGGUGUUCCUCGCUGACCACUUGGCCGAACAGCUGACCCUGCUAGAUGCGGAACUUUUUCUCAAUUUGAUCCCCUCUCAGUGCCUGGGAGGCCUGUGGGGUCACAGAGACCGGCCAGGACAUUCUCACCUCUGCCCAUCUGUCCGAGCUACUGUCACACAGUUUAACAAGGUGGCAGGGGCAGUGGUUAGUUCUGUCCUGGGGGCUACUUCCACUGGAGAGGGACCUGGGGAGGUGACCAUACGGCCACUCCGUCCCCCACAGAGGGCCCGGCUCCUGGAGAAGUGGAUCCGCGUGGCAGAGGAGUGCCGGCUGCUCCGAAACUUCUCUUCAGUUUAUGCCGUGGUGUCAGCCCUGCAGUCCAGCCCCAUCCACAGGCUUCGGGCAGCCUGGGGGGAAGCAACCAGGGACAGCCUCAGAGUCUUUUCCAGCCUCUGCCAGAUUUUCUCCGAGGAGGAUAAUUAUUCCCAGAGUCGGGAGCUGCUCGUGCAGGAGGUGAAGCUGCAGUCUCCUCUGGAGCCACACUCCAAGAAGGCCCCGAGGUCUGGCUCCCGGGGUGGGGGUGUGGUCCCAUACCUUGGCACCUUCCUGAAGGACCUUGUGAUGCUGGAUGCAGCCUCCAAGGAUGAGUUGGAGAAUGGAUACAUCAAUUUUGACAAGCGGAGGAAGGAGUUUGCAGUCCUUUCUGAGUUGCGACGGCUCCAGAAUGAAUGUCGUGGCUAUAACCUCCAACCUGACCAUGAUAUCCAGAGGUGGCUACAGGGGCUCCGGCCACUGACAGAGGCUCAGAGCCAUCGUGUAUCCUGUGAGGUGGAGCCACCUGGUUCCAGUGACCCUCCUGCCCCACGGGUGCUUCGGCCAACAUUGGUCAUCUCGCAGUGGACAGAGGUUUUGGGCUCUGUUGGGGUCCCUACCCCGCUUGUGUCCUGUGACCGGCCCAGUACUGGGGGAGAUGAGGCGCCUACAACUCCUGCUCCUCUGCUGACUCGGCUGGCCCAGCACAUGAAGUGGCCAUCUGUCUCGUCACUAGACUCUGCCUUGGAAAGCAGUCCAUCCCUGCACAGUCCAGCUGACCCCAGCCACCUCUCCCCACCAGCCUCCUCCCCUAGGCCUUCUCGAGGUCACCGCCGCUCAGCCUCCUGUGGCUCCCCGCUGAGUGGGGGUGCAGAAGAGGCCUCCGGGGGGACUGGAUAUGGGGGAGAGGGAUCUGGGCCAGGGGCCUCUGAUUGCCGUAUCAUCCGAGUCCAGAUGGAGUUGGGGGAAGAUGGCAGUGUCUAUAAGAGCAUUUUGGUGACAAGCCAGGACAAGGCUCCAAGUGUCAUCAGUCGUGUCCUUAAGAAAAACAAUCGUGACUCUGCAGUGGCUUCAGAGUAUGAGCUGGUACAGCUGCUACCAGGGGAGCGAGAGCUGACUAUCCCAGCCUCGGCUAAUGUAUUCUACGCCAUGGAUGGAGCUUCACACGAUUUCCUCCUGCGGCAGCGGCGAAGGUCCUCUACUGCUACACCUGGCGUCACCAGUGGCCCGUCUGCCUCAGGAACUCCUCCGAGUGAGGGAGGAGGGGGCUCCUUUCCCAGGAUCAAGGCCACAGGGAGGAAGAUUGCACGGGCACUGUUCUGAGGAGGAAGCCCCGUUGGCUUACAGAAGUCAUGGUGUUCAUACCAGAUGUGGGUAGCCAUCCUGAAUGGUGGCAAUUAUAUCACAUUGAGACAGAAAUUCAGAAAGGGAGCCAGCCACCCUGGGGCAGUGAAGUGCCACUGGUUUACCAGACAGCUGAGAAAUCCAGCCCUGUGGGAACUGGUGUCUUAUAACCAAGUUGGAUACCUGUGUAUAGCUUCCCACCUUCCAUGAGUGCAGCACACAGGUAGUGCUGGAAAAACGCAUCAGUUUCUGAUUCUUGGCCAUAUCCUAACAUGCAAGGGCCAAGCAAAGGCUUCAAGGCUCUGAGCCCCAGGGCAGAGGGGAAUGGCAAAAUGUAGGUCCUCGCAGGAGCUCUUCUUCCCACUCUGGGGGUUUCUAUCACUGUGACAACACUAAGAUAAUAAACCAAAACACUACCUGAAUUCUA